AUCCUAAGUUCUACCCCACUCUCACUAACUUAUAUUUUAGGAUCUUUUAACCUAUGCUCUAAUAUUACUUAAUCUAUCAUGCCCUGACCCAAUAACUCAAGUUGGGCACACGACAAAUGACUGUACGUUCUAGGGUUUAAUCCCCUUAAACAUGCAAGGCCUACCUUUCGCCAAAACAUAAUUAUCUUAAUUUAACUCAAACAGUGGUAAAAAUAAUUUUCUACUAUCUUUAUUUAAUAGAAAAUAAAGUCUCUAUGACUGAUAACAAACU
rnacentral:lncRNA from 1 species